AUUGAACGCUGGCGGCAGGCCUAACACAUGCAAGUCGAACGAGUGGCGGACGGGUGAGUAAUGUCUGGGAAACUGCCUGAUGGAGGGGGAUAACUACUGGAAACGGUAGCUAAUACCGCAUACCAUCAGAUGUGCCCAGAUGGGAUUAGCUGGUUGGUGGGGUAACGGCUCACCAAGGCGACGAUCCCUAGCUGGUCUGAGAGGAUGACCAGGCAAAAUGGAACUGAGGCACGGUCCAGAAUCCUAAGGGAGGCAGCAGUGGGGUAUAUUGGAAAAUGGGUGCAAGCCUGAUGCAGGCAUGGCGGGUGUAUGAAAAAGGCCUUCGGGUUGUAAAGUACUUUCAGCGGGGAGGCGUUACCCGCAGAAGAAGCACCGGCUAACUCCGUGCCAGCCGCCGCGGUAAUAC
rnacentral:rRNA from 1 species